UCUCAUUUGUUGGACAGUACAGUGGCUGUUUGGGACGUUAGGAGACCAUUCAUUCAGUUUGCUACUUUUACUGAGCACACUGAUGUAGUCACUGAUUUCCUUUGGUUGUCUGAGGAUAUAUUAAUAUCAUGUGUGAAAGAUUCAAAGCUAGUUAUACAGAAUAUGUCUGAUGCUAGUCACAUCACUGACAGAGCUACUCCAGUUAGUAUAUCAUUGAGACCUGAUGGCACCUUUGCCUCAUCAACCAGUGACUCGAACACACAAAGAACAAAAUCACACUCAUCAAAUGUUCCAUCACGUAAUCCAAUUCAGUUUCGUAAACAUGAGACUGAUCCUUACCAGCAGACAUUCCUUUGUCACACGUCAUAUCUUCACA